AGUGAACGCUGGCGGUAGGCCUAACACAUGCAAGUCGAACGGCAGCACAGUAAGAGCUUGCUCUUACGGGUGGCGAGUGGCGGACGGGUGAGGAAUACAUCGGAAUCUACUUUUUCGUGCGGGAUAACGUAGGGACACUUACGCUACUACCGCAUACGACCUACGGGUGCAAGCAGGGGAUCUUCGGACCUUGCGCGGUUGAAUGAGCCGAUGUCGGGUUAGAUACUUGGCGGGGUAAAGUCCCACCAAUGCGACGCUCCGUAGCUGGUCUGAGAGGAUGAACAGCCACACUUGAACUGAGACACGGUCCAGCCUCCUACGGGAGGCAGCAGUGGGGAAUAUUGGACAAUGGGGGCAAUCCUGAUCCAGCCAUACCGCAUGCGUGAAGAAGGCCUUCGGGUUGUAAAGCCCUUUUGUUGGGAAAGAAAAGCAGCAGGUUAAUACCCCGCUGUUCUGACGGUACCCAAAGAAUAAGCACCGGCUAACUUCGUG
rnacentral:rRNA from 1 species